rnacentral:rRNA from 1 species
GGACGAACGCUGGCGGCGUGCUUAACACAUGCAAGUCGAACGGAAAGGCCUUUUCGGAGGUACUCGAGUGGCGAACGGGUGAGUAACACGUGGGUGAUCUGCCCUGCACUCUGGGAUAAGCCUGGGAAACUGGGUCUAAUACCGGAUAGGACCGCACUUUAGUGUGUGUGGUGGAAAGUUUUUUCGGUGUAGGAUGAGCCCGCGGCCUAUCAGCUUGUUGGUGGGGUAAUGGCCUACCAAGGCGGCGACGGGUAGCCGGACUGAGAGGUUGGUCGGCCACAUUGGGACUGAGAUACGGCCCAGACUCCUACGGGAGGCAGCAGUGGGGAAUAUUGCACAAUGGGCGCAAGCCUGAUGCAGCGACGCCGCGUGGGGGAUGACGGCCUUCGGGUUGUAAACUCCUUUCGCCAGGGACGAAGCGUUUUGUGACGGUACCUGGAGAAGAAGCACCGGCUAACUACGUGCCAGCAGCCGCGGUAAUACGUAGGGUGCAAGCGUUGUCCGGAAUUACUGGGCGUAAAGAGCUCGUAGGUGGUUUGUCACGUCGUCUGUGAAAUUCCACAGCUUAACUGUGGGCGUGCAGGCGAUACGGGCUGACUUGAGUACUGUAGGGGUAACUGGAAUUCCUGGUGUAGCGGUGAAAUGCGCAGAUAUCAGGAGGAACACCGAUGGCGAAGGCAGGUUACUGGGCAGUUACUGACGCUGAGGAGCGAAAGCAUGGGUAGCAAACA